rnacentral:lncRNA from 1 species
UGACAUGGUGAGUAGUUGACUCAAAGCUAGAGAAAGAUAAUAGUUGAACAGUUCUGAAAAAUGAGUUCCUUCAAAACUGAAGGAUAAGCAAGAGAGAGAGCUAGUUAUAUAUUUUUUUUUACUUUUAUUUUCACUUAUCUAGCGAAUGCAGCUAACUAGUUUAGCCUACUCAAACACCUCACUCAAACAGAGAGGGAUGCUAUGGUUGCUUGCUUGCUAUGCAGCACUGGAACUUCCAAGUCAAGGGGAGCCAGCCUUGUAUGUGGAUGAAGGCUCUGAGUGGACACAGGGAGCCGCACUAAACCCAAUACCAUCCUCUCCAUCUGUCUGCAGCAUGGGUCAUGGAACCUUUACACUCUGCUCUGGCGUUCUCACUCGAUGAUGGUGGCUGCUGGUGUUCCUAUCCUGGGAGGUUACAGAGGCAUGGCAGGGGCCUGCAGAGGUCGGGCCAAAGGCCCAUUACUUCACGAGUGCAGCACAGGUAACCUUUGCUGCCUUGCCUACAGAAUGGUGCCAACAUGGGAAGUGGUUGCUUGAGGGAUGGGCCCAAAAAAGUGUCUCCCAUUUUCCCCAUUAUCCCCUGUGCAUUUAUACCUGCGUUUUCUGUUUGUCUGUUGCCAGUUUGUCUUGUCUCGUCAAGCCUACCAGUGUGUUGUUCCAUACUCCUAUUUCUCUAGUUCCCGUUUUCCAGUCUUCCCAGUUCCAACCUUUUCUGCCUGCCCCCGAGCCUGCCUGCCUGCCGUCCUGUACCUAUCUGACUGAGCUGGUUACGAACUUCUGCCGGCCCUGACCCUGAGACUGCCUGCCGCCCUGUACCUGUCAAAGUUGGACCUGGUUACGAACCUCUGCCUGUCCUCGACCUUCCCUUUGCCUGCCUCCUGUGGAUUAAUAAACGAGUCUGUGUAUUGAACCUUCCGUCUCCUGUGUAUGCAUCUAGGUCAUAUCCUGAGUCAUGUUAGCUUAAAAUGUAAUAGCAAAACAGUUUGUUCAAAGCGGUCUCCAGACCCCCUUCACACUAUUCACUGUCCUUUUGGAAAAGUUAAAUUAACUUGGUAAUUGAAGGAGUUUCUGUUUUGAGGGAUAUAGGAUCUGUCAUGUUUGCUAUUAUACAGAAUAUAAUACGUGUCACCAUCUUUUAGAGAAAAUCUUGC